GUGGGGCAUAGUUCUGUAAAAGGGUUGGAUCCGACGCCCCUAGAAGGCUACUAUAGGCUCACCUUCUCAUCUCCUACUCAAUACGUCCACGACGCGCAGAACGGUAACUUGUCGCCUAGAUCCAAGCUUGGGUACACGGGGAAACCCAACCCCUUGGGCGGAUGGGCGGCAAGGCUGAAUUGAGACGU
rnacentral:ribozyme from 1 species